rnacentral:rRNA from 1 species
AUACGGAGGAUCCGAGCGUUAUCCGGAUUUAUUGGGUUUAAAGGGUGCGCAGGCGGGAUGUUAAGUCGGCGGUGAAAUUUUGCAGCUCAACUGUAAAAGUGCCUUCGAUACUGGCUUCCUUGAGUGUGGAUGAAGUAGGCGGAAUUUGUGGUGUAGCGGUGAAAUGCAUAGAUAUCACGAGGAACUCCGAUUGCGCAGGCAGCUUACUAAACUACUACUGACGCUCAGGCACGAAGGCGUGGGGAUC